rnacentral:rRNA from 1 species
UCACACCCGUUCCCAUGCCGAACACGGAAGUUAAGCUCUCUAGCGCCGAUGGUAGUUGGGACUUUGUCCCUGUGAGAGUAGGACGUUGCCGGGC